rnacentral:rRNA from 1 species
AUUGAACGCUGGCGGCAGGCCUAACACAUGCAAGUCGAGCGGAUGAAGGGAGCUUGCUCCUGGAUUCAGCGGCGGACGGGUGAGUAAUGCCUAGGAAUCUGCCUGGUAGUGGGGGAUAACGUCCGGAAACGGGCGCUAAUACCGCGUACGUCCUGAGGGAGAAAGUGGGGGAUCUUCGGACCUCACGCUAUCAGAUGAGCCUAGGUCGGAUUAGCUAGUUGGUGGGGUAAAGGCCUACCAAGGCGACGAUCCGUAACUGGUCUGAGAGGAUGAUCAGUCACACUGGAACUGAGACACGGUCCAGACUCCUACGGGAGGCAGCAGUGGGGAAUAUUGGACAAUGGGCGAAAGCCUGAUCCAGCCAUGCCGCGUGUGUGAAGAAGGUCUUCGGAUUGUAAAGCACUUUAAGUUGGGAGGAGGGGCAGUAAGUUAAUACCUUGCUGUUUUGACGUUACCAACAGAAUAAGCACCGGCUAACUUCGUG